GAAAUCGGGAUUAAUACCCCAUAUUAUUACGGUGAGACAUCUCACUGUAAUGAAAGCUCCGGCGGUCUUAGAUGGGCAUGCGCGACAUUAGCUAGUUGGUGAGGUAACGGCUCACCAAGGCUGCGAUGUCUAGGGGUUCUGAGAGGAUUCACCCCCACACUGGUACUGAGACACGGACCAGACUCCUACGGGAGGCAGCAGUAAGGAAUAUUGGUCAAUGGACGCAAGUCUGAACCAGCCAUGCCGCGUGCAGGAAGACAGCCCUACGGGUUGUAAACUGCUUUUGUACGGGAAAAAACCUCCGGUCGUGCACCGGAGCUGAUGGUACCGUAAGAAUAAGCAUCGGCUAACUCCGUGCCAGCAGCCGCGGUAAUACGGAGGAUGCAAGCGUUAUCCGGAUUCAUUGGGUUUAAAGGGUGCGCAGGCGGAAUGAUAAGUCAGUGGUGAAAUCCUACGGCUCAACUGUAGAACUGCCAUUGAUACUGUCGUUCUUGAGUAC
rnacentral:rRNA from 1 species